GACGAACCGUGCGAACGUUGUUCGGAAUCACUGGGCUUAAAGGGCGCGUAGGCGGCUUGCCAAGUCCGGGGUGAAAGCCCCCAGCUCAACUGGGGAAGGGCCUCGGAUACUGGCGAGCUCGAGGGAGGUAGGGGUCGAGGGAACUUCUGGUGGAGCGGUGAAAUGCGUUGAUAUCAGAGGGAACGCCGGUGGCGAAAGCGCUCGACUGGAUCUCUACUGACGCUGAGGCGCGAAAGCUAGGGGAGCAAACGGG
rnacentral:rRNA from 1 species